GUUGGGUAGGGGAGCGUUCUGUAAGCCUGUGAAGGUGGCCUGUGAGGGUUGCUGGAGGUAUCAGAAGUGCGAAUGCUGACAUAAGUAACGAUAAAGCGGGUGAAAAGCCCGCUCGCCGGAAGACCAAGGGUUCCUGUCCAACGUUAAUCGGGGCAGGGUGAGUCGACCCCUAAGGCGAGGCCGAAAGGCGUAGUCGAUGGGAAACGGGUUAAUAUUCCCGUACUUGGUGUUACUGCGAAGGGGGGACGGAGAAGGCUAUGUUGGCCGGGCGACGGUUGUCCCGGUUUAAGCGUGUAGGUGUGUGUUCCAGGUAAAUCCGGUUCACUUUAACACUGAGGCGUGAUGACGAGGCACUACGGUGCUGAAGCAACAAAUGCCCUGCUUCCAGGAAAAGCCUCUAAGCAUCAGGUAACAUCAAAUCGUACCCCAAACCGACACAGGUGGUCAGGUAGAGAAUACCAAGGCGCUUGAGAGAACUCGGGUGAAGGAACUAGGCAAAAUGGUGCCGUAACUUCGGGAGAAGGCACGCUGACAUGUAGGUGAAGUGAUUUACUCAUGGAGCUGAAGUCAGUCGAAGAUACCAGCUGGCUGCAACUGUUUAUUAAAAACACAGCACUGUGCAAACACGAAAGUGGACGUAUACGGUGUGACGCCUGCCCGGUGCCGGAAGGUUAAUUGAUGGGGUCAGCGCAAGCGAAGCUCCUGAUCGAAGCCCCGGUAAACGGCGGCCGUAACUAUAACGGUCCUAAGGUAGCGAAAUUCCUUGUCGGGUAAGUUCCGACCUGCACGAAUGGCGUAAUGAUGGCCAGGCUGUCUCCACCCGAGACUCAGUGAAAUUGAACUCGCUGUGAAGAUGCAGUGUACCCGCGGCAAGACGGAAAGACCCCGUGAACCUUUACUAUAGCUUGACACUGAACAUUGAGCCUUGAUGUGUAGGAUAGGUGGGAGGCUUUGAAGCGUGGACGCCAGUCUGCGUGGAGCCGGCCUUGAAAUACCACCCUUUAAUGUUUGAUGUUCUAACGUGGACCCGUGAUCCGGGUUGCGGACAGUGUCUGGUGGGUAGUUUGACUGGGGCGGUCUCCUCCUAAAGAGUAACGGAGGAGCACGAAGGUUGGCUAAUCCUGGUCGGACAUCAGGAGGUUAGUGCAAUGGCAUAAGCCAGCUUGACUGCGAGCGUGACGGCGCGAGCAGGUGCGAAAGCAGGUCAUAGUGAUCCGGUGGUUCUGAAUGGAAGGGCCAUCGCUCAACGGAUAAAAGGUACUCCGGGGAUAACAGGCUGAUACCGCCCAAGAGUUCAUAUCGACGGCGGUGUUUGGCACCUCGAUGUCGGCUCAUCACAUCCUGGGGCUGAAGUAGGUCCCAAGGGUAUGGCUGUUCGCCAUUUAAAGUGGUACGCGAGCUGGGUUUAGAACGUCGUGAGACAGUUCGGUCCCUAUCUGCCGUGGGCGCUGGAGAACUGAGGGGGGCUGCUCCUAGUACGAGAGGACCGGAGUGGACGCAUCACUGGUGUUCGGGUUGUCAUGCCAAUGGCACUGCCCGGUAGCUAAAUGCGGAAGAGAUAAGUGCUGAAAGCAUCUAAGCACGAAACUUGCCCCGAGAUGAGUUCUCCCUGAGACUU
rnacentral:rRNA from 2 species